rnacentral:rRNA from 1 species
GGACCUGACUGCUAUCGGAUUGAUACUAAGCCAUGCGAGUCAUUGUAGCAAUACAAGGCAUACGGCUCAGUAACGCGUAGUCAACCUAACCUAUGGACGGGAAUAACCUCGGGAAACUGAGAAUAAUGCCCGAUAGAACAUUAUGCCUGGAAUGGUUUAUGUUCCAAAUGAUUUAUCGCCGUAGGAUGGGACUGCGGCCUAUCAGUUUGUUGGUGAGGUAAUGGCCCACCAAGACUAUUACAGGUACGGGCUCUGAGAGGAGUAGCCCGGAGAUGGGUACUGAGACACGGACCCAGGCCCUAUGGGGCGCAGCAGGCGAGAAAACUUUGCAAUGUGCGAAAGCACGACAAGGUUAAUCCGAGUGGUUUCUGCUAAAGAAACCUUUUGUCAGUCCUAGAAACACUGAUGAAUAAGGGGUGG